UGGCUCAGUGGUAGAGCCCUUGCCUGUUAUGCAUGAGACCCUGGGUUCGAUUCCUCAG
rnacentral:tRNA from 1 species